CGGGGCGGAACUAGAAGACGGGGCCUGACCGAAGGAGGAGGGAUCAAGGGCGGGGCCUGGAAGUGGGCUGUCCGUACAGGGGCGGGGCUUCGACUGGCCGGGCUAGGUUGGAAGGCGGGGCCUGACUCAUGAAGGCGGGAUCAAGGGCGGUGCCUGGAGGCGGGCCAUAACAACAGGGGCGGGGCCUCGACGGGCUGGGCUGGACUGAAAGGCGAGGCUUGACUCACGGAGGCGGGGUCAGGGGCGGGGCCUGGAGGUGGGCCUUAGACGCGGGGGCGGGGCUUCGGCUUGGGAGCAGGGCUUGGGGAGGGCGCCGGCGUGCUGGGGCGGUUCAGUCGCCUCAGCCGCGGUAUGAGGGAGCGGGAGUCUUCCUUAGCUUCUCCGCCAUGGGUGUCGCUUCGUAGCCGGGCUGCUCCGGGAAAGGCCUCGUACAGUAAAGAGAUAAAGUUGCAGUGGCUGGGCAACCUUGUAAACAUUCUGGGAAGGAAUGCAGAAUGCAAAACCCAGCUGAAAAAUCUAGAAGAAAUCAUGUCCCAGUUAAAGAAGAUAUUCCUCCUGAGUCCUUCAAGCUCUACUACUUUCACGCAUUCACCAGAAUCCUGUCAGCUUUCCUCUUCUCAUCCAGAUGCCUGGCCAGGAUCCUCGAUAAGACCGUGACCCCCAACUUGGACACCCCAUAAGCUUUGUUCUCAGAAACUUGGCGGCUACAAGGAAUUAAAUGUAAAUGGGAAAGGAAGAAAGAAAAACACAGAUCAUAGAAGCUGUGCCUUCGAGGAAAUAAAUCCUCUUAAGGGGAGGAGGUGUCCUCUUUGAUCUGAGGGCACACCUCUGGGAGAGAGGCCAGAGGCUGACAGUCAGCCUCGUCAGCCAGAUGCGUCAUCAGCCCUGGGAAGGGCUGCACCCACACCACCCUCCACUGAGGUCCAGGUGGCCCCACCGGUCCCGAAACACCUGCUGCCUUACUCUAGAAAGAGUAGGCAAGUUGCGCCCUCUAGUGGCUUAGUAGUUGCUUGGCCUAUUUACUCAGAACCUUGAACAAAUAAGCAAGUCAAAUACAGAUGGUCCCUGCCCUCUGAUGGUUCCACUUAGGACUUACUGACUUCACUGAUGGAUGAGGAAGCGAUAUGCAUUCUGCAGAAUCUGUAUUGGAGGCCCCAUACAACCAUUCUGCAUUUCACUUUCAGUACAGAUUCAAUAAAUUACAUAAGAUACUCAACAUUUUAUGAUAAAAUAGGCUUUGUGUUAGAUGACUUUGCCAGACUAUAGGCUAAUGUAAGCGUUCAAAGCACCUUGAAGCUAGACGAGGCUGACCUAUGGUGUUUGGUAGGUCAGAUGCAUUAAAUGCAUUUUUUUUUUUUUUUUCUGAGACAAGGACUUGCUCUGUCGCCCAGGCUAGAGUACAGUGGCACAAUCAUAGCUCACUGCAGCCUCAACCUCCUGGGCCCAAGCGAUCCUCCCACCUCAGUCUCUCGAGAAGCUGGAACAUGCCACUAUGCCCAGCUAAUUUUUAAUUUUCAUUUUUUGUGUAGAGAUGGGGUCUCCAUAUGUUGCUCAGGAUUAAGUCCAUUCUUAUGAUAUUUUCUUUUCUUUCUUUCUUUCUUUCUUUUUUUUUUUU